rnacentral:misc_RNA from 1 species
GUGAUUAAAUCGAGAGCGUCUUCAUUGACCUCUCACCCUUCACAUCCACAUACACCUGUGCACCGUUUGGCUCUUUUAAAAGACGUAAGUCUGCAAAGAGAGUCAUCAAUUUUAUACAUACCCCAGUCUUAUGAAUGUAACAGUUUUAAUAAACAAAAUAAAACUUUUAACAACGGAUCUCUUGGUUCUCGCAUCGAUGAAGAACGCAGCGAAAUGCGAUAAGUAAUGUGAAUUGCAGAAUUCAGUGAAUCAUCGAAUCUUUGAACGCACCUUGCGCUCUUUGGUAUUCCGAAGAGCAUGCCUGUUUGAGUGUCAUGAAACUCUCAACUCCCAACUUUCUUAAUAGUCGGUUGGGAGCUUGGACUUGAGCGUUGCUGGUCUUUAUUGACCGGCUCGCUUGAAAUGAAUUAGCAGAUCCUUUUUGUAAUCGGUUCCACUCGACGUGAUAAGUAUUUCGCCGAGGACAUCUUAACGGAUGGCCGAGAUAAAGAAAGUCUUUAGAUCCGCUUCUAAUUCUUAGUUAGAGCUUGCUCUACUAAACCCCUUUUAUGA